ACUGUUUACCAAAAACAUAGCCCUCGGCUAAUAUGAAAAUAGAUGUAUAGAGGGUGAUGCCUGCCCAAUGGUUGUAUCUAAAAGCGGUUGAUAAAAGUUGACCUCGUAAGGACAAUUGAAUGGCCGCGGUAACACUGACCGUGAUAAUGUAGCGUAAUCAAUAGCCAAUUAAUUGUUGGCCAGUAUGAAUGGCGCCACGAAGGCCCCACUGUCUUAAGGAAAUUCCCAGUGAAAUUGAAUUCGUAGUGAAGAUGCUACGUCCAAUUUGUUAGACGAAAAGACCCCGUUGAGCUUUACUGGAGCACUUACAUGGCCCCGGCCUUCCCAUGCCUGGGAACCGGCCGAAUUUAAAUGGGCGGCUUAGAUUAUGUGGCAGCCCCCCGCUGGGGCAAAUGAAACACCACUCCCCCAUGUCAAAGGGGCUAA
rnacentral:rRNA from 1 species